GCGCGCCGUGCGGGCUAACGAACCCCGGCGCGGAAAGCGCCAAGGAUCACCGCAAACGGAGCGAAACCGCCGCGCCGCCCGAGCCCCGUCCGCGGGGUGCCCGGGCGGGGUGGCGGAGCGCCUCUACGAACGUCAUAACGACUCUCGGCAACGGAUAUCUCGGCUCUCGCAUCGAUGAAGAACGUAGCGAAAUGCGAUACUUGGUGUGAAUUGCAGAAUCCCGUGAACCAUCGAGUCUUUGAACGCAAGUUGCGCCCGAGGCCCUCGGGCCGAGGGCACGCCUGCCUGGGCGUCACGCAUCGCGUCGCCCCCCCCGCCCCGCCCGCUCCACGCGAGCCGGCGCGGCGUCGGGGGCGGACACUGGCCCCCCGUGCGCGGCCCCGUGCGCGGCCGGCCCAAAUGCGAUCCCCUGGCGACGCGCGUCGCGACCAGUGGUGGUUGAACCAUCGACCCGCACGCUGUCCGUCGCGCCCCGCAGCGUCGUCCGGCCGGGCAUCACGGCAGACCCCAUCGGCGCCAGCGAGCGCCUCCGACCGCGACCCCAGGUCAGGCGGGAUUACCCG
rnacentral:rRNA from 1 species